rnacentral:rRNA from 1 species
GAUGAACGCUGGCGGCGUGCCUAAUACAUGCAAGUCGAGCGAACAGACGAGGAGCUUGCUCCUCUGACGUUAGCGGCGGACGGGUGAGUAACACGUGUAUAACCUACCUAUAAGUCUGGGAUAACUUCGGGAAACCGGAGCUAAUACCGGAUAAUAUAUUGAACCGCAUGGUUCAAUAGUGAAAGACGGUUUUGCUGUCUCUUAUAGAUGGUUCCGCGCCGCAUUAGCUAGUUGGUAAGGUAACGGCUUACCAAGGCAACGAUGCGUAGCCGACCUGAGAGGGAGAUCGGCCACACUGGAACUGAGACACGGACAAGACUACUACGGGAGGCAGCAGUAGGGAAUAUUACGCAAUGGGCGAAAGCAUGACGGAGCAACGCCGAGUGAGAGAUGAAGGUCUUCGGAUCGUAAAACUCUGUUAUUAGGGAAGAAAAAAUGUGUAAGUAACAAUGCACGUAUUGACGGUAACUAAUAAGAAAGCAACGGCUAACUACGUG